ACCCCUGCCGGGGAAUGGGGGAACGUUCGGAAACGGACGCUAAUACCGCAUACGUCCUACGGGAGAAAGCACGGGUGACCUUCGGGCCUUGCGCUAUCAGAUGAGCUUAGGUCGGAUUAGCUAGUUGGCGAGGUAAUGGCUCACCAAGGCUACGAUCCGUAACUGGUCUGAGAGGAUGAUCAGUCACACUGGAACUGAGACACGGCCCAGACUCCUACGGGAGGCAGCAGUGGGGAAUAUUGGACAAUGGGCGAAAGCCUGAUCCAGCCAUGCCGCGUGUGUGAAGAAGGCCUUCGGGUUGUAAAGCACUUUCAGCGAGGAAGAACGCCUUGGGAUUAAUACUCCCGAGGAAAGACAUCACUCGCAGAAGAAGCACCGGCUAACUCCGUGCCAGCAGCCGCGGUAAUACGGAGGGUGCAAGCGUUAAUCGGAAUUACUGGGCGUAAAGCGCGCGUAGGUGGCUAAGUCAGCCAGGUGUGAAAGCCCCGGGCUCAACCUGGGAACUGCAUUUCGAACUGGCAAACUAGAGUGUGAUAGAGGGUGGUAGAAUUUCAGGUGUAGCGGUGAAAUGCGUAGAGAUCUGAAGGAAANUNNACCGGAUGGNNCGANGGCAGCCACCUGGGUCANCACUGACGCUCAUGUACGAAAGCGUGGGGAGCAAACGGGAUUAGAUACCCCGGUAGUCCACGCCGUAAACGAUGUCUACUAGAAGCUNCGGAGCCUCGGUUCUGUUUUUCAAAGCUAACGCAUUAAGUAGACCGCCUGGGGAGUACGGCCGCAAGGUUAAAACUNCAAAUGAAUUGACGGGGGCCNCGCACAAGCGGUGGANGCAUGUNGGUUUNAAUUCGAUGCNAACGNCGAAGNAACCUUNACCNUNACACUUNGACAUACAGAGAACNUUACCNAGANGAUGGNUUUGGUGCCNUUNCGGGAACUNCUGAUANNCAGGUGCUGCAUNGGCNUGUCGUNCAGCUUCGGUGUUUGUGAGUAUGUUUGGGAUUAAGUCCCGCAAUCGAAGCGCRCAUCCCCUAUUCUCUUAUGAUUGCUUAGCAAGUGAUWAUGCUGAGAACUCUAAGGAGACUGCCGGUGAUAAACCGGAGGAAGGUGGGGACGACGUCAAGUCAUCAUGGCCCUUACGUGUAGGGCUACACACGUGCUACAAUGGCGCAUACAGAGUGCUGCGAACCUGCGAAGGUAAGCGAAUCACUUAAAGUGCGUCGUAGUCCGGAUUGGAGUCUGCAACUCGACUCCAUGAAGUCGGAAAUCGCUAGUAAUCGCGUAUCAGAAUGACGCGGUGAAUACGUUCCCGGGGCCUUGUACACACCCGCCCGUCACACCAUGGGAGUGGGGUUGCUCCAGAAGUAGAUAGUCUAACCCUCGGGAGGACGUUUACCACGGAGUGAUUCAUGACUGGGGGUGAAGUCGUAACAAGGUAACCA
rnacentral:rRNA from 1 species